CUUCUUACUUUUUUUCUUUUUUUUUCCUUAUUCUUCGAUAGUUCGACCCAUUCUGAAGAAAGACUCAUUGAUUCUUUCUCACGUCUCAGAAAUCCAUCUCCCCCCUCCCCCUUUAGUCCUCUAGAGAUGCUUGUCAAUUGUCACUUGCCGAAGACUAGAGGUGCUUGUCGAUUCUCACUUGCCAAAGACUGGAGAUGCUCAUCGAUUCUCACUUCCCAAAGACAUUGAAAGACUUGUCGAUUCUCACCUGCCAAAGAUUAGAGAUGCUAAUUCUUGCCCCUCGUCUAUGGCUCUAUUCCCAGCAAUCUUGAUGGGUUUAGUUGAUUUUUAUUCUUGAUGAGUUUAGUUGAUUUUUGGAUGAGUUGAGUUGAUUUUUGUUCUUGAAAUUGGGACAAUAAAUGUUGUUCAUUCUUGUAUUUCAAAUGCAAUUUAUGUUGCAAAAUAGCCAAUUUCAGUCAUUAUGUAAUGAAUUUCGGUUUGUCAACUUUUGUAUGUUGGAUUUUUUAUAAAUUCAGUUUGCUUAAUUG
rnacentral:misc_RNA from 1 species